UUUCUUGUUAGGUGUGUUUGGUUUAGCCGAAUUUGAGCACAGGUUCGGUUAUUACCCGAAUAUUCGAAUUUACAAUUCGGUAAUUCGGUUUUCGGUUAUUCGGUUAGUUUCAUAUUUCGGGUAGCAUUUCGGAUAGUAGAAUUAGCUAUAAUUCGGUAUUCGGUUAUAACCGAAUAGUCAUUUCGGUUCGGUUAUAACCGAAUGCUCACUCUAGUCUGCAACUAAUGAAUAACAUAAAAGUGCAAAUCUUUUAAAGAGUGAAAUUCUAUAGAGAGAACACAUAAAAGUAAAAAUAGGAAACUGAUAUUUUUAUUUAUGAUUGUGAUCAUAAAGAAAAAGAAAAAGAAAAUUUGUAUCCCCCAAGGAAAUUAAAGCUGCUGGCGCCGGACAAGGCCAACUACUAGUUUAGAAAACACAGGAACUGUUUAAUUAAUGGACUAGGAUGAUCAUAAUAAUAUACGGAGUAAUAUUAAAAUUAAGAUUUGAGAACUUCUCUGGCUUUAGCUUAGAAAAAGCAACAUUCUUCUAAGCUAAUUAAUCAAGGUUUCACCUUAACUAGUCCUUUGGCAAAGAUAUUAGUGAAAGCUUCGACCAAAUUCUUAGGGAAGCAAACUCCAAUUUCCACAUCUCCUUCCGAAUUAAGGGAACAUUUCUGGGAAACAACUUCAAGCUUUUUUGGUGUCCCCCACCCAAAAUCUGUACUAUAAUAGUCAAACUUCGGUGAUCCAGCAAUCAUAAAAGCCUUCUGCGUCGUGAUCGUUUCAAAGCCGGCGUACCACAACUCUGCGUCUUUCAAGACUCCUCCCUCCUCAUUAUUUACCUUUCUAUGAAUAGNNNNNNNNNNNNNNNNNNNNNNNNNNNNNNNNNNNNNNNNNNNNNNNNNNNNNNNNNNNNNNNNNNNNNNNNNNNNNNNNNNNNNNNNNNNNNNNNNNNNCGUUAAUAGAAAAUGUUGAAAAUAUUAACACUACAGUAAUGAUCUCACCUUAACUAGUCCUUCAGCAAACAGUGCGGAACCAGAACAUUUUUGUAGGGGGGUCAAAUUUUUUAACCCAAGGCCGAAAUUAUUAAUACCACCACUUGCUUCGGAACUUAAUAAUUAAUUAUUAUUAUUUUUUUGUCAGCAAAAAGUCUUUUUAGGUAAUGAAACAAAAAUUUGUGGUAGAACCAAAAUACCAUAUCUACAAACCAUAGUUUCGAAAUAUGAAUGCACACUCACUGAUAACAAAAAUUACCUCCAAAGAUAACAUCACAUAAUACAAUUGAUUAUACAAAAGUCAUCCAUUGGAAUUAUACUUAACUUAGUUUAUACACUAGUUUUCUUGAAGCUUCUUGUUCAUAUCUGUCAUCAAAAGGCGUCGCUAGAUUUAAGAAAACAGAAAUCAAACAAUAAUUUAAGAUUAUUCCAACAGUAACAAUUUUGAAAACUAAAUUACUAAAAGAUUAAAGAUAUAAACAUUAAAUUAUUAAAAUUCAUCAAAAAUCUUUCUCUUAGGAUUCUCAAAAGCCAAACAAAGGUAAAAGAAAAUAAAAAUUAAUUUAAAAUAAUUGGAAAAAUUAAAACAAACCUAAAUUAAAGAAAAAAUUAAAUAAAAGAAAAGCCUGAUCAAUAAAACUGAACUCCCAACCUUUUGGAUUCACCUAUAAAAGAAACCCUUGAUAAUUUUUUAUGUCCGUUUUCAAAUUAACUAGAUCUGAAUAUCUAAUAACUAUACAGUUUCAGAAAUAACCCAUAUCAAUGGAAAAAAAGUUAAUGGAUUUUGCAAUCCCAAUUUGCUUAUCCAUUUUGCUAGGUCUAAUCGUAUACUCCUUUCAAAGCCCGAAAUCUUAUUAUUCAUUCUUAAAUUUUAUAUCUAUUUUUUAUAUAACAAUUUGAAUAAAAUAAGUAAUAUUACUUUCGAUUUAACAUGUUAUUUUUUUAAAAUGUUAAUAUUUUGGUCUUAUUUUCAAAAUUAUUUAUUUUAAUGAUAAAUUUCAUUUUUUUAAAAUUUUAUUCUUUAAUUAAAUUUUUGUACAUAUUUUAUUAUGAUUUAGAUUUUUUAAUGUUUUUUUAGUUAUCUAUGUUCAGAUUUUUUAUUUUGAAGUAAAAAAAAAUUGUAGUAAUAAUUAUGCAUUAAACGUGAGUUUUUUAACUUCAAUUCAAAAUAUUUUGAUAUCCCUUUCAAGUGAGUAGCGUGUACAAGUCUGCAAUAGGAGUGAGCAAAAAACGGAUAAAAUCGAACUAUCGAAUCGAACCGAACUAUUUUAACCGAAUUAUUUCGGUUUUUAAUUUUUUUUGAAAUUUCGAUUAUAUUCGAAUUAUUAUUAAAAAAUUAAAUUUUAUAAUAUUAUCUAUAACUUCCAUGAGUAUUUUAUAAUAAUAUCUAUAACUUCUAUCAGUAUUCACUCGCCAGAUCUGAGAUCUAUAACUUCUAUGAGUAUCAGAUCUGAGAUACAAGAUGUUCACUCGCCAGAUCUGAGAUCGAUUCCUCACUCCUUAGUCCUCACUCCUCAGCAUCUUGUCUCUCUCGACUCUCGACUGUCGAUCUCCGCGCCUCUUAACUCUCAAUCUCCGCGCCUCUCGUCGUCGCCGACUGUCUGUCUCUUCGUGCCUCUCGUCGUCGCCGAUUGAGCCGGAAAUGAGGUAGGCGAGGCGGGGUGGAAGAGGAAGAGAGGAGAUGGGUAGUGGGUGGAGCUUGGAUUCGACGAAGACGUCGCCGACUGUCUGUCUCUUCGUGCCUCUCGUCGUCGCCGAUUGAGCCGGAAAUGAGGUAGGCGAGGUGGGGUGGAAGAGGAAGAGAGGAGAUGGAUAGUGGGUGGAGCUUGGAUUCGACAAAGACGGAGGCGGAAGAGCCGUCGGUGGUGGCGUAACGGUGGAGGGGGGGGGAUGGGAGUUCUGUUCUGCAACAGUAUAACCAAAAAGAUGAAGACUGCUCACUCCAAUAUUAAUGAAGGUCCAAUCAGCCCAGCAAAAGCAUUUUACACCAUAAACACCUAUAGAGGCGCAUCCCUUUGAUUCAAUAGCUUCCGCUUUGCAUUAUGUAAGAUCACUUAGUAAUAUGUUCUAUGCAAUUUAGUGCAGUUAAACACGGAGUGGGACAACUGUUAUGCAAUUUGUACUUUAUUUGUAAAUAUUCUGCUGCAUUUGUUGAAUUCAGUUAGUUGGAGAGUUAAUGAUUUUUCUUGUUAGGUGUGUUUGGUUUAGCCGAAUUUGAGCACAGGUUCGGUUAUUACCCGAAUAUUCGAAUUUACAAUUCGGUAAUUCGGUUUUCGGUUAUUCGGUUAGUUUCAUAUUUCGGGUAGCAUUUCGGAUAGUAGAAUUAGCUAUAAUUCGGUAUUCGGUUAUAACCGAAUAGUCAUUUCGGUUCGGUUAUAACCGAAUGCUCACUCUAGUCUGCAACUAAUGAAUAACAUAAAAGUGCAAAUCUUUUAAAGAGUGAAAUUCUAUAGAGAGAACACAUAAAAGUAAAAAUAGGAAACUGAUAUUUUUAUUUAUGAUUGUGAUCAUAAAGAAAAAGAAAAAGAAAAUUUGUAUCCCCCAAGGAAAUUAAAGCUGCUGGCGCCGGACAAGGCCAACUACUAGUUUAGAAAACACAGGAACUGUUUAAUUAAUGGACUAGGAUGAUCAUAAUAAUAUACGGAGUAAUAUUAAAAUUAAGAUUUGAGAACUUCUCUGGCUUUAGCUUAGAAAAAGCAACAUUCUUCUAAGCUAAUUAAUCAAGGUUUCACCUUAACUAGUCCUUUGGCAAAGAUAUUAGUGAAAGCUUCGACCAAAUUCUUAGGGAAGCAAACUCCAAUUUCCACAUCUCCUUCCGAAUUAAGGGAACAUUUCUGGGAAACAACUUCAAGCUUUUUUGGUGUCCCCCACCCAAAAUCUGUACUAUAAUAGUCAAACUUCGGUGAUCCAGCAAUCAUAAAAGCCUUCUGCGUCGUGAUCGUUUCAAAGCCGGCGUACCACAACUCUGCGUCUUUCAAGACUCCUCCCUCCUCAUUAUUUAC
rnacentral:lncRNA from 1 species